CUAUAGUAGCUUUGAAACGCUCAAUCUUAUCUUCAGGUAUCUCUAAAUUAAAAGUGUCCAAAUGCCAACGGAACCCAAGCCAAGUUAAAACUUUUGUUGGGUCCCAAAUACUUUUUUCAUGAUUCAGGAAAAAACCUGCUGACAAUAAAUCAUGCUUUACGACCUUAGAAAGCUUCACACAAUCCUCAAAAGAGGACUCAAUCCCCCAACCGUCAUCUAAAUAUAUGAUCAUACGAUAACCUUGUGAUCUCCAGUGCUUAACUAGUGGCCUCAACACUUUAGAAAACACGUGACCAGCUGUAGACAAACCAAACGGUAAACAUCUAAAAACGAAAUACCGAGUGCCGGUUGGGAAAACCCAACAAAAACCUAAAAACUCUUGAUGAUCUUCGUGUAUAUUAAUAUGAUGAUAACCACACUUUAAAUCAAAUUUUAUCAGAAAUCCUGGAUUUGAUACAAAUUGCAAAGCCUCAGUAACACCUUCGUAUUUAAAUUUUCUUUUUUCAUUAAACUUAUUAACGUGCCUCAAGUCCAAAAUCAAUCUCUUUUUACCUGAGUCGUUAACUGACACCGAUAACGGAUUAACGAUAAAAGGAAUGUGAUCUUUCACCUCACGAAUCACACCUGUUGACAAUAAUUCUAUAAUUGACGAC
rnacentral:lncRNA from 1 species